UACGUAGGGUCCGAGCGUUAAUCGGAAUUACUGGGCGUAAAGCGUGCGCAGGCGGUUUUGUAAGCCAGAUGUGAAAUCCCCGGGCUAACCUGGGAACUGCAUUUGGGACUGCAAGGCUCGAGUACGGCAGAGGGAGGUGGAAUUCCACGUGUAGCAGUGAAAUGCGUAGAGAUGUGGAGGAACACCGAUGGCGAAGGCAGCCUCCUGGGCCAGUACUGACGCUCAUGCACGAAAGCGUGGGGAGCAAACAGG
rnacentral:rRNA from 1 species